rnacentral:rRNA from 1 species
GUCGAACGAGACUUUUUAUUUGAUGCUUGCAUCUUUUAAAAAGUUGAGUGGCGAACGGGUGAGUAACACGUGGGUAACCUGCCUUAAAGUGGGGGAUAACACUUGGAAACAGGUGCUAAUACCGCAUAACCAUCAAAACCACCUGGUUUUGAUGUUAAAGAUGGUUCUGCUAUCGCUUUAAGAUGGACCCGCGGCGUAUUAGCUAGUUGGUGAGGUAACGGCUUACCAAGGCAAUGAUACGUAGCCGAACUGAGAGGUUGAUCGGCCACAUUGGGACUGAGACACGGCCCAAACUCCUACGGGAGGCAGCAGUAGGGAAUCUCCCACAAUGGACGAAAGUCUGAUGGAGCAACGCCGCGUGAGUGAAGAAGGUUUUCGGAUCGUAAAACUCUGUUGUCAGAGAAGAACGUGUGUGAGAGUAACUGUUCACGCAGUGACGGUAUCUGACCAGAAAGUCACGGCUAACUACGUGCCAGCAGCCGCGGUAAUACGUAGGUGGCAAGCGUUGUCCGGAUUUAUUGGGCGUAAAGGGAACGCAGGCGGUCUUUUAAGUCUGAUGUGAAAGCCUUCGGCUUAACCGAAGUCGGGCAUUGGAAACUGGGAGACUUGAGUGCAGAAGAGGAGAGUGGAACUCCAUGUGUAGCGGUGAAAUGCGUAGAUAUAUGGAAGAACACCAGUGGCGAAAGCGGCUCUCUGGUCUGUAACUGACGCUGAGGUUCGAAAGCGUGGGUAGCAAACAGGAUUAGAUACCCUGGUAGUCCACGCCGUAAACGAUGAAUGCUAAGUGU